UGGGGAAUAUUGGACAAUGGGCGCAAGCCUGAUCCAGCCAUGCCGCGUGAGUGAAGAAGGCCUUCGGGUUGUAAAGCUCUUUUGUCCGGAAAGAAAUCCUGUCGGCUAAUACCCGGCGGGGAUGACGGUACCGGAAGAAUAAGCACCGGCUAACUUCGUGCCAGCAGCCGCGGUAAUACGAAGGGUGCAAGCGUUACUCGGAAUUACUGGGCGUAAAGCGUGCGUAGGUGGUUCGUUAAGUCUGAUGUGAAAGCCCUGGGCUCAACCUGGGAACUGCAUUGGAUACUGGCGAUCUGGAGUGCGGUAGAGGGUAGCGGAAUUCCCGGUGUAGCAGUGAAAUGCGUAGAUAUCGGGAGGAACAUCCGUGGCGAAGGCGGCUACCUGGACCAGCACUGACACUGAGGGCACGAAAAGCGUGGGGGAGCAAAACAGGAUUAGAUACCCUGGGUAGUCCACGCCCUAAACGAUGCGAACUGGAUGUUGGGUGCAACUUGGCACUCAGUAUCGAAGCUAACGCGUUAAGUUCGCCGCCUGGGAAGUACGGUCGCAAGACUGAAACUCAAAUGAAUUGACGGGGUCAUAGC
rnacentral:rRNA from 1 species